rnacentral:lncRNA from 1 species
CUUCCUUCCUGUAGAAUUUCCGGUCUGGUCACACUCAUUCAGCAACAGCAGCACCACCACCACCACCAGCAGCAGCGGACAGCCCUGAGGAGCAUGGGGCCUGCUGGGACUCGUCUCCUGCUAUGCUUCAGCUCCUGCCCAAUCACUUACCUGUGCCAGGAGAAGCCUCUGGACAUGCCUGGGCAGCCUCUGGACAUGCACUGCUCCCAUUCCUCGCUGAGAGGGCAUCUCCCCGAGUGCCUCUCCAUCCCAGUAGACUCUCCAGAUGUGCCCAGUCCUCAACUGGUGUGGCCUCACCAGAGAGACUCAGACCAAACAGGCCUCCACAGCCUCUCUCUAGACACUUUCUGGGAAACCACAGUGGAAUACAAAAGGAGACCAAGCAUGGGAGAGCUGCAGUGGACGUGUACAGACAGGAGAAGCAGGCCCUAAAGAAUCCCUGAGGCGGCAGAGAGGCUGGGCUGUGGAACUUUUUAAUUACUUUGCAUUAGGGGACUGUAGAGACCCAGAAGCCCACCCUUCCCCUCCCCUCAUCAGCUUAGCCCCAACAUAUGGUGGCUACCAAAGUAGUUAAAUCGGCUCUUGGUAGAAAAGGAAAGAGAUUCCUCCCAGGCUCUUCCCAGGGUCCACGGCCACACUCCAGGAGGGCUCAACUCCAGGGCAAGGCAGCUGGGACAGCAGGCAGCUGAAGGAGGACUAUUACUGCACCUUAGGGAAGAGUGCAGUGGCGAGUGGGGAGGACUCUGCUGGGACCCGGGGGUCAUGUGCAUUCCCAUUUAGUUGAGCUCUGCUUAAUCCGGGCCUAGGCUCACAGUAAUGGGGAACGAGGAGAGGCUCCCAUCAGAGACCAAGAAGAUGACAGACUCUCUGUAAAGGCUGUCAGAGGGGUCUGCAUGACCAACCACACCUGCUCCUGUUCCUUUGGGGCUCUUGUGACCUCCCUGUCUUCUUGUGAGAUCUUAUGUUCCUCCAACCCUGAGAGCUACAAACCAAUCUCCGGAAUAAAAAAAUCUGUCCCUCGUGCUGUCA